GGGCAGCUGAGGAAUUCUGCUGGGCGCAGAAGUGCCUGGGCGAAGAGCCUCCUGAGCAGGACCCACUGAUCCCCCCGCUUGUGUGAGGGGUGCUUGGGUGGUGGUGGCCUCUCCCUCAGGGCCUGGCCGUGGGCCGAGGGGGAAGCGGCCUCUGUCCCUGCAGGCUCCGGCUCUGCAGCGGCCUCCCUGCAGGUGGCGCUGGGCCACUGCCUUUAUGGCCAAUCCUCUCCCUGGGCCACCAUCUACCAGGCUUUGAUCUUCCUCUUAGGCAACAGUUUACAGAACCCACUGUUGAUUCAGGGAUCUGAGGCGCCUGAUGUGAAAUUGAAUAAACAUGACCCAGUGUCACUGUCCCCAGACUCUGGCCUCUGUCUGUGGUGAGCCCUGCCUGGACUGUAGCUGCGGCUCAUGGGGCCCUUUAUACACAGCGCCUGGCCCAAGAAGAGCAGGCUCCCUCCCAGGCCUGGACACGGCAGGACGGGGACCCUGGGCUCUUCCCAGGGUGGCUGAAGGCACUGCCUGGCCCCCAAACAGGGGCAGGACCUCGAGGACUGGCACGUGCCCCUCCUGAAGCCUGCACGCUUGCCCCUGGGGCCUGCCACUGCGGGGGCACUGAUAGAAUGUGCUGGAAGCUCUGCCCUCUGUGGGGUGGUGGCGCCCUGUGUGGUGAAACACAGAACUCGCCAGGAUGAUCUGCUGGCCCACGCCCGGCCCAGGGAGGAGCCAGGCUUCACGCUCACCCCUGCCGGGCAUGGUGACACCAUGGUGGCACUGGCACAAGGCUCCCCCAGCUCUGAGAUCCGCACACGCCUGCCCUGGGUGUGGGACAAGCUGGAUUCUGACAGAUCCCAGAUCUCAGGACCUUGUUCUCUGAGAAUUGCCUGCUCCAAAGCCCCUGGCAUCGCGGGGAUCUCCUGGGAGCCUGGACCCAGGAGGGUGGAGCUGAGAAGCGGCACUUCUGCAGAUUGAAAUUGAGCAAGGCUUCGCCAUGUUCUGGGCGCGGAGAAGAUCCCAGGAAGCCAGUGGCUUGUGGAUGGGUGAGCAGAUCCUGUCUGUGCAUGGAGGAGCUCAGUCCAGCCUCCCAACAGGCAGGAGCCCUGCAGUGCACAGUGACCCGGGUGGACCUGGAGGCCCUGGCGCUCAGGGGCCUGAGCCAAGCUCAGUAAGAAGCACCACUCUACCUCCUGGGGGCAGCAGAGGGUGGGCUCUAGGAGGCAGAGCACACGGUGGCUGCCAAGGCUGGGCAGGGCCACGGCACGUUGGCCCAAGGGGCCAAGUCCACGUGGGGUGGUCGGGGUCUUACUGACUGCAGUCAGGCCGCGUGUGCCAUCUGGAGACCUCCCACAUGCACAGAUGGGGCCGUGUGGUGCCGGGUGGAUGGCUGAUCAGCUCGCGGCUAAACCAUUUCACAGCGCGUGCGCUAAGCCAUCCCAGCGCUGCCCUCGAGAAAAACGAGUUCUAUUUGUCAAUUACACCCUAAAAAAAGCUGGGGGCAGGGGCAGGCACAGUGGCACAUGCCUGUAAUCCCACUGGUUUGGGAGGCUGAGCCAGGAGGAUCACGAGUUCAAAGCCAGCCUCAGCAACUCAGCGAGUCCCUGAGCAACUCAGCGAGACUCUUUCUAAAUUAAAAAGAAAGAAAAAAGGCUGGGGAUGUUGCUCAGUGGUCGAGUGCCCCUGGAUUCAAUCUCAGGUACCAACCAAUCAGUCAAUAAACAAACAAAUAAAUAAAAGCUGGGUGGAGAAAAGUAUCCCUGGUGCAGCCUGCCCCCACCACAAGAGGCAAUCGCUCCCCUUGUGGGAGGGGUUCAGACCUCUCAGCAGGUGGCCCCAGGACCUUUCUGCAUGUGCCUGGUCCUUGGCCCUCCUGUUGCCCCAUGAGGACACAGCCGGGCACUGCCUGGGCCCGAGUCACGGUGCAGGGUCGGCCAUCAGUCUCUCCCUCCUCCUCGACUCCACAUUUGGGGAUGGAAACUCCAGCUCUUGUCCGGGUCCUGCGGUCCUGGGCUGCAAGGGUGGCUGGGAUCACAACCACAGGGUGGCAUCUGGUGCCACAGAGACCUUCAUCUUCCUCUCUGCCCUCGGUACCCAGGAGAGGCGUCUCAGCCCCGGGGAGGCCAAUCAGAGGCUCUCGCAGGCCCAAGCCUUGGGCGCCCAGCUCAGCCCCACAGGGGCAACCUCGUCUAGGAGCACAAGGUCCAGAGGCUCCCGCCUGCCCUCCAGAGCGCCCCGGGGAAUGUGCCUGGACAGGUAGCCUUCUCUGCACAGAGGAUAUCUGAACUCGAAGACUUGGACUUGGACUUGGUCUUUGUUUGAAAGCAUGUCUUUAUUAUAGAACCCAAACCUGCUCAUGAGAGGGGGUUUUCAGAAUACCCAGGCACAAAGACAAAGGGCAGGGUGAGUCAUCUGUAAUGCGGCUGCCCAGAGGCGACUUCUGUUAAUUUUUUUUGGUGUAUUUCCUUCCUAAAGUUGUAUCUUUUUGAGGUUGUUGUGUAGAAAACAUGGCAACCAAGUCCCAGGCCCAAUCCUGCUCUUAAAAUAGAAAGCAGGCUCCUAAUCAGGAGUCUUUUCGCCAGGAGAGGCGAUACGUCUUAGCCAGGUUUGCGAGAGGAUGGUGUCUUCUCCCCCUUCCUUCUCGCGGCACAUUAAAUCAUGGAUGAAUACAAAUGAGUUCCUCAAUUAGAAUAAAAUACCAAGACGGUCCAGUGUGCUGCGUGGCCAUGGAGAGUUCAGCUGAUGGGGGAACCAGCAGGAGGAGCUGACGGGGCGCCCAGGGGGAGCCUGCUGGGCCCGGCUGCAGUCUGUGGGGAUGCGGCUGCUCCUCGGGAGCCCCCUGGAGGAGGUGGGUUAACUACUGAGGUUGGCCCAGCGCACACCCCCUGUGCACCCGCCAGGAGCCAGCCUGCACCGGCUUCUGGAACACUUCAGCAUGGGGCAGGACACCCCGGGCAGGCACUUAUGAGUUUGAUUCUGAGAUCAGUUCUCAGUGGUGAGGUGAGUGCGUUCCCCCCUAGGAGGGGCUCCGCCUGCUCCGAGGCCUCCAGGUCCCCUUCGCAGAUCUUCCUGGUCACCUCCCAUCAUGCAUCCAAGGAACCCUCACCUGGAGAGAGUUGCUGUGUCCAUGCCUGCCCCUGGCCGAUCUCAGCACCACCCCUGUGAGGCCACACUUGCUGUGAAGUCUUCAGAAGCACCAGGGCUCCUGGGCAGAAGGCAAAGUCAUAGCUGGGGUCACUGGCAGCUUCGACUAAUGACGACUUCUGAGGAGCCCUCGUUCAUCCCAGCUGGCUGCCGCAGGGCUGCGGUGGCUUUGCAAACAGGACUCUGGCCAUGUACGAUUUUAGUUAAUCCCAGACUUACUGAAUAUGCAGAAUCCCCAGGUAGUGUGCAAGGUCAAGAAAAACUUGGGUGUAACUGGUUCAGGGGAAGAGAAGAGGAUGUGAACACAGAUUCCGUCACUAAAGGACAACACUCUGCCUAAGCUUGAGACCUGAGCUGGUGGUGGUCGGUGGAGUUGGACUUGGCCAGCCAAAGUGGUGGUCACUGAGUGGACCAAGGUGGAGGACAGUGUGUGCUACUGAAAGUGGGUCAGCAGAGUGGGGAGGUGGAACAGGGGGCUGGUGGGCAGCUCAGCCUGGUGUUGAGGGUGUGGGGUGUGCCGGCUCCCAUCCAGUCAGUCCAAGCCACACGGGUAUGCAGCUGGAGAUGAUGCAGUGUGCUCUGGCUGGCACCAGGAACUGGUGGCCUCCCCUUCCACUGAAGCCACUGGAAGAGUUUUAUGUGGUUCCCUGGUCAAAACGAGACUCAGACAGGACCAUCAUUUAGCUGUAAUGACCACAUCAGACACAGUUUACACUAACAUAUCCAACAAUAAAUCCAUUUACAAUAGCA